AUUACCUUCUUGAGUUGUGGCUCAGACACUACAACAGAGCUCUGUCACCUCUUUCUAAAAGCUGGGAAAUGGUUAUUGUCAACGCCAGCCCCAUUUUGGAGGCACCUGGUUGCAGGGGACCACAGCUAGCUGGGUGCGGUGGCUCAGGACUGUAAUUCCAGCUACAUGAGAGGAUUGCCUGAGGCCAGGAGUUUGAGACCAGCCUGAACAACAUAAUAGACUGGGAGCUCCAUGAGGUCCGAGACAACCUGAAGACGCCCAGCUCAGCAGAGACUGGCUACGGCAAUCACUCAGUAACUAUUUGUUGAAUUGGACAUAAUAGAAGAGCUGAAGAAUUUUAAACAAGUCACCAUCAGUGCAGUGGAUUCCUCAAAGCAAACCUGGAAAUCUCGGCAUGAGUUGGAUUUAAGGCAGUACAUUUUCAGCUCCUGAAAAUUUGAACAGUUUCUCAAGAGAACAACUUGAAACAGAAAGGCAAGGAUGUAGAUGUGGUUGUAGAAGAUGAUGUCUGCGGCCACCAAACUGUCCACUGUGAAGACAAACCAUGCAUGUUUAGUAGGCAGUGGCUCCUCUUCCCUGUGGGGAGUCCCACUGCUUCCCUGGCCUGGGUGUUCUCUGCCGGUAGAUGUUAUUGACAAAAUAAGCAAAGUCCUCUGAUUCUGAGAAUUAGAGUUAAUGAUAGCUCUAGAUUGCCUCUGCCAUGCUAUUUAAAGUCCUGCUUUAUUGUCUGACAUGAGUUCGGCAUCUAUGAGGACUUGUCCAGUGCAAAGUACAAUCUCCACUGAAAGAUAUCACCAGCACAUCUUGUCACUGUGCUGUAGCAAGCUGGGCAGUACAAUGAUGUUGGCAGGAUCCUGUUUAGGUGGAGGAUGGCCACCUGGGCAUCAAGAAUCUUCUACCCUGAUUCCACAUUGACUCCCCAAAGUGGGCUUCAGACAGCUCUUUACUUACGUCUUCUGAUUAAAGCAGCAGACAGGGUCCCAGCUAGAGAAAAGUUCUGGGAGCAGGAGAGGUGUUGGUGGCUUUAAAACCAGGGGUGAAGAUUGAAUUAGGAGGUUAGGCAGGAGUAGGAUCAAAGACUUAGAAAAUGCUUGUUUCCUCCUAUUAUUCUUAUGAGAGCUGAUACGGGGCUUUCAGUUUUGGGGGAGAGCCUUGGAAGAGAAUGAGGGAAUUUAAUCAACUAGCGGGACCUUUCCAACUUACAUUUCCCAGUGUUUGUUGGAUGAUACGUUUGCCUAAUAAGUUAAAGCUUCCAAAAAUAGAAAGGAAAGCUUGGUGACACUAAGCUCUGGCAUGCUGUCAUCUUCUGGCUAGGGGUCUUGUGCUUCUGUUUUUCUAUUUCUGACCAAAGACAUAAAAUGUGUUGUGACCUCUCAGGUAAUGCUGUGGUAUCAUGUCCAAGCAGUAACUAACCAGAGUGGAGUUUUUACAGGUAAAAAAGUAUUGAAUAGCUCAGCAACAGGGAGGACUUAAUGAUAAAUUGCUUUUUCAGAAAAUGACAAGGGGACAGACACUUGCGGUUCUUCCAUUGAGAGCCUUAAGGAAGUUAAGCGAAGCCUCUGCUCACCCCUUCAAGUAACGAUGACCCAUCAGAUCGUGGUCAUAACCAGUAGCAUCUGAGGCACCCCUAAGCUCUCUGGGCCCCAGAUUCCUUGUUAAGUUAAAUGAGGUGACUUCCCAGUUUACCAUUCUAGGGGUUCCUGAGGAGUUAAAAAUGAAGGAGAAAAUGCAACAUGUACCAAGUGAGCAAGAGCUCAAGGCUUAUCUCUGGCACGAAAGUGACCGCUGUCCGUUAGAGAUGUGAUUGCCCUAGAUUUCCUUUAGGAAAUGCAAACAUUGAACUCUGGCCUUCAGGACCCAAGUCCCGGCUUGCAUCUAUUCUAUACACUUUCUGUUAUUUGUUAGGGCUCACAAGGAACAGUUAUUUAUCUUUUAUUUUCUAUUUUUUUUUUAGAGAUGGAGUCUCACUCUGUCUCCCAGGCUGGAGUGCAGUGGUGCCAUCUCAGCUCACUGCAACCUCCACCUCCCGGGUUCAAGCAAUUCUCCUGUCUCAGCCUCCUGAGUAGCUGGGACUACAGGCGUGUGCCAUCAUGCCCGGCUAAUUUUUAGUAUUUUUAGUAGAGGCAGGGUUUCACCAUAUUGGCCAGGCUGGUCUUGAACUCCUGAUCUCAAGUGAUCUACCCUCCUUGGCCUCCCAAACUGCUGGAAUUACAGAUGUGAGCGACCACACCUGGCCCAUUUGUUUUCUUUCAAACCCUUCUGUAAGACCAGUGCUUUAGGUGAACACGUGGACAGAACAAGAUCAUCACUAUUUUGCAAUAUGAAGACCAACUGCGCUGUGACCAGAAAAACAGAGGCAAAAUGUUGAGCUUAAUGAUACCUUUUUAUAAUUUGUAUUUGGUGUUUCUCAAUUUUCCAUUGGAUAGUUUGAGAGAUAAGUACAAGUCAAUGACAUGUUCUCUUUCGUACCCUAUUGUCUAAUCCUGCUAACACACACACACACACACACACACACACUGAUUACCUAAUUUAUCUGUUCCCCGAUUAUUACACUCUCAAUUGCUGCAGAGUCUCAGAAGCAGCAUGGUGUAACAGAAAGAAUAUGAGGCUUAGAAUCCAAAAGCCAGAGUGUGAAUUCCAGCUCCACUGACUUGCUGCGUGACUUGAAGCAAGUCAUUACGUGUCUCUGUUUACUCAUUUUAUGACUUUCCUAUUGCCUCUGUAAUAUAGCACCACAAACGUGUGGACUUAAAACAACAUGCAUUUAUUCUCUUAGCGUUCUGGAGGUCAGGAGUCUGACAUCAAUUUCGUUGGGCUAAAAUCAAGAUGUUGGUAGGACCAAGAUCCCCGUGGAGGCUCUGGGAGAACCCAUUUCCUUGCCUUUGCCAGCUUCUAAUGCUGCAUUCCUUGCAUUCCUUGAUUGUUGACCUCUUCCCCCAUCUUCAAAGCCAGCAGAACAGCACCUUGUUUCAUUGCCUUCUUUACUGUCAAAUCUCCCUCUGCCUUCUUCUUAUAAGAACACUUGUGGUUGCAUUUAGAAGCUGUGAUAAUCCAGAAUAAUAUCUUUAUCUCAAGAUCUUUGACUUGGUCUCUUCUGCAAAGUCUCUUUUGCCACAGAGGGAAAUAUUCACAGGUCCCAGGGGUCAGGCUGUGUACGUCUUUGGGGGACUUUAUUCUGCCUACCACACUCAUCUUUUUUUUUUUUUUUUUUGGAUGGAGUCUUGCUCUGUCACCCAGGCUGGAGUGCAGUGGCAUGAUCUCGGCUCACUGCAACUUCUGCCUCCCCAGUUCAAGCAAUUCUCCUGCCUCAACCUCCCAAGUAGCUGGAAUUACAGGCGCCUGCCACCACGCCCGGCUACUUUUUGUACUUUUAGUAGAGAUGGGGUUUCACUAUGUUGGCCUGGCUGGUCUUGAACUCCUGACCUCAGGUGAUUCCCCCACCUUGGCCUCCCAAAGUGCUGAGAUUACAGACGUGAGCCACCAUGCCCGGCCCCACACUCAUCUAUUAAGUAGAGCUAGGAAUUCCUAUCCUAAGGGACACAAAAAUGAAAAAAGAUAAAAUUUGUGAAGAGGCACAUAAUGAAAGCCCAUACAUGUCACUGAGUUCAGAGGAGGGUGGGUCUGACCUCCCAUUGGCUGGUCUCUGCCUGAUGGACAUCGUGAAGAAGAGAGCCAGGACUAGUGUGGCUGGGGGAUGUUCAGGGGCCAGAGUGGCUUCAGGUGCCAGCAGCCCUGGCCGAAGGAUGACUCCAGGAGCAAGGCUCAGAGCCGAGUGGAAGAAGCUUCAUAAACGCAACUGAGCCAAGCAUGAUGGGAUGUGCCUGUGGUUCCAGCUACU
rnacentral:lncRNA from 1 species